ACAUUAUCCAACCUCUCCUCUUUUCCUCUCUGCUUUUUUUUUUUGUUUCUUUGUUUGAGUGGUGAGUACUAAUGAAUGAGUAUGAAACCAGCCAGCCAGUCAAGAGUCAAUGAUUUUUGUUUCUGCAAAAUAAUACAAUGUCAUGCAAGUCAAGGUCAACUAAACGAGUGACAUGUAGUUUGAUGAAUUGUUCUGUUAGGCGGGAAGACUUUGAGUGAAAAAGACACCACCGUUUUUACUUCCUUACCUAACAAGUAACAACUGAAGAGUUUAUAGAGGACAAAAGAGUAAUUUCACAUUUCUACCCUUCAUUGCUUCAGAACCAAUAAACACUCUUAAUGGAAGGUUGAUUUCACAUGGUAGUCGUUGACUUGCCCAAUAUUAAACUUUAAAACUCUGUAUUAGAUAUUUAGAUGCAUAUCAACUGACUAGUGCACAAUAGCAAUACAUGCAUCUGUCCAUCUUCCUAGCUUCCAAGUUCCAACCAAAGAUACAGAAGAUAAAUUUGAAAGCAAUAAAAUUGAGGAAACAACUGUGUAUCUUGGGCCCAAUGCCAAUCUGGGCUUUUAAAGUACAAACCCAUGAUGUAGAUUUUAAAAGUACAAACCCAUGACGUGGGUUUUAAAAUAGCCUCUUGGUGUUCAAUGGUGAUGAGCUUUGUGUUUUUCGCCAUGCAUAUGUCUUAAAAAGACGUUGGGUUCGAAUACAACACGGAAGAGAGAUUAACAUGAUAAACAUGAAAACAACACAAGCUUUAGAGAGAGAUAAAAAUAAUAAACAUGCACGCAAUAUAGAACUUUAGAGAUAAUUUACUUUAUUAAGAAACAACCUAUUAGGUACAAGACCAACGUUUUUUUUGGUCAUUCAGUGACCAAAGCUAUAAUCUUUAGUAUUGUUUUGUUAAAAGUUAAAACAUAGAACAGAAAAUAAAAAUACAAAAACAUGAAUCAUCUAUAGUUAAACUAAAACUAUAGUUAAAAGAAAGCAAAAUAAUAUAAAUCCUUUAACAAUUAAAUAAGCUUACAAUUUUUAAAAUAAAUAGUUCAAUAAAUUGAUAAAUUUUUUUAAUAAAAACAUGAAAAUUUAUUUAAUUUCAGUUGAGAAUAAAAAUAUUUUAAAUAUAUUUAUAUUAUUUGUUCAUUUGUUUACUUGUCCGAAGGGCAGGCCUACCCUAGUGUAACAUAUAAAAAUGUUAGAUUCAAUAAAUUUAAGCUCGGGACCUUCAUAUAAUUAAUCAAUAAAUUAAUAUUAUUUUAAAAUUAAUUCAUUGAUUUUAUAUUAGAACAUUACAAAAUAAUUAUAUUGAUUAAUUUAGUAUUUCACUUAUAAUUUAUGAUUUAAUUUGUUAUUUAUAAUUUCUGUUAUUAUAAAAUAACUUUAAUAAUUUUUUAAUUUUUAAUAUAUAUUUUAUUUUUUUUAUAAAUUUUUGUAAUUUUAUUAACUUUGAUCAAUCUUAAAGAUUAUAAUACAAAUAAAAAAUAUUUUUGAAGUAAGAAUUAAGGUUUCACUAUUGGAGGAAACCACUCUCAAACCUCCCGUUUAAGGUUUACCAAAUCUUAAAAAUAAGGUUGUUUGUGGAUAUGUGAUUAGUAGUAUAUACAGAAAAUUUUCUUCUUUUUUUGACAUCAUAAAGUAAGACUUUAUAAAUUGAUAAUGUUGAGAUAUCAUAGUUUAUCUAAGACACUAUUAGUCUAAAUUCUUAAGUUAUACAAUUUUAUCCUUCUCGUUAUACAUUUCAUUUGACAUUUUAAAACCCCCAAUUGUAAGCAUUCUGUACCUGAUUAUCACACAUGCAUUAGUUAAUUGCAUUACAAUGAGUUGAAGUUACCAAAAAAAUAUCCCUAGGAAUUGACAUAGCCAAGUCUCAACACAGGUUUUGAUUGUUCAAAAAAAAUAUUUUCUAAAAAACAAAUAACAAAACACCUGAAAAAUGAAAGCAUAAACUCGACGAUGUAAUAAAAAGAAUUUCAGUUUGAAAAACAAUAUAUGGGCCAGUCAAGUGACACAUACACAACCAAAAUACACAUGUCUCAAGUGACAUACACAAGCCCAUAAUGUAUACGUGUCCAGGUCAACAGAAACUAUUCGUCUAGCCUUGAAGAAGCAUAUAUAUUAACCCUAUAUUAUUUGUAAUAUUUAAUUUACAAGUUAAAAAAACAUUUUAAAUUUAAGUAAAAUAUCUUAAGGAUGGCUGAAACUUAUUCGUUAAGGCUACAUACAAUGUAGGUAGAAUUAUCUAGUCCUAAUCUCACAUAAGCAUCAAAGGGAAAUAUAAUAUUUGACAACUUUUGGAAAUAUUUUUUUCUUUUUUAAUUAUAAGAACAAAAGGAAGUUUUCUUAAAAGAAAAUCUAAAAAUAUGAAGUUACAUUGAAAUGUAUCUGAAAUAAAAAUAAACAGAAUCUCUUAGUUGGCUAAUUACCUUCAAAUAAAACAAUUAUGGAAAAAAUCUUAUCCAGCAAAUUUUAUCAAACCUAUAUAGAAAUUUUAUUUUCUAUUUUUUAAAAUUCAAUACUAUAUUAGUGUAUUGUAAAUUUUGGUUUUCAGUAAGAAUUUUGAAAAUAUUCUAGAAAUAUAUUUUCAUAGCUAUUUUAGACCUUUUUAGAUAAAUAUUAAAAUCCAAAAUGUAAAUAAUUUUCAGAGAGGCAUCAAUGAAAGGAUAACAAGAUUGUGUAUAAAUUUUAAACCUCUAGAGUCCUCCAAAGACACUUCUGUGCUCUCAUUAACAAUCUUUAUCCCUCUUUUUCUCUUAUAGUUCAUUCUUUUGUUAUUUCAAUACUCCAAGAUCAAUGAGGGGUAAAUAUAUGCCUCCAAGGAAAACAGUUCGCAGAAGAUCUCCGUCACCUGAACCAUCUGGAGAGAGUUCAACAGAUGAUGAAACAAACGAAGUUGAGAGAAAAGUCCCCUUCAAUGUUGCUCUCAUGAGACCUCGGCCAUUUAACCCAUUUGAUGAGGAUGAUUCAACGGACAGUGAAGCAACGGACACCGAAGCAACAGACAGUGAAGCAACGGACAAUGAAGCAACGGACAGUGAAGCACUGGACAGUGAAGCAACGGAGAGUGAAGCAACGGACAGUGAAGCAACGGACAACGAAGAGAACGAAGUUGCGAGAGAAUCUCCCAAAGCUCCUCGCAUGAGAGUUAGGGCACGAGAACCAUCUGAUGAGGAUGAUUCAACGGACAGUGACGCAACAAGUCAAGAGGAGUUAAAAGUGAGUCCAAAGAAGAACAAUGAUGCAGUAAACGAGCCGCCGAACAAGAAGAGAAGACUGCAUAGGAGGAAGAUGUAUACCCCUCGAAGAUUUAUUUCCCCAGAGGCAGAAGUUAACCAGACUGAUGCAAAGCCGUGCAACAGUGGGGGAUCAAAGGAGAGCCAUUCUGAUUAACAUGUCGCCCCAGAAGAACCAUAACCAAGACGAAUCAGAAACAAUGGCUUAUCCAAUAUCUAUGUUCUUAUCUUUUAUUUUAUGGACUUUAUUUCGGAAUUUGAAUUUUGCUUUUAAGUUAUCUACAUGCUGAGAUAUAAUAAAGUUUUUCAUUUCAACCUCAAACGUCUUGAUUGAAUCUGAAAAAUAUUAAAGAUAUAACCAAACAUGUGAUUGAAAAAACCCCAACCCCUAUCCAAAUCUUCCGAUCAACACCAAUGUUUUUGUUUUACACAACCUAAAAACUGUCAAAAUUUUCUUAUCUUUAAGAAAGUUUUCAGUUCUCCUAACUCACCAACUCUCACGAACCCUAAAGAGUGGAAAAUCUCUUGAACCUUCAAUCUUAAUAAAAUCAAUUGAAGUAUCUGUGUCGUUUUUUUUAACUUUAAAAGUUUCAGUGUUUGCCUUUUCAUAAUCAAACUACAUAUUGACACUUAAAACCUCCUAAUUUUAAGCAUAUUGUACCUGGAUGAUCACACAUGUAGGGGCGGUUCUAGAAUCUAUUUUCAUCCAGGGCAGCAAGGCAUAAGACCACAUCAUAAGGGGCAACAUAAAAAUUCUCUGAACAAUUACACUUAUUUUCACGAGAUUCGCCCCUGCACGCAUGCACUAGUUAAUUGCACUAUAAUGAUUUGCAGUUUCCAAUAAAAUUCUCCCUAGGAAUUGAAAUAGCACAGGUUGAUUGUUCAACAAAAUUAUUUUUCAAAAACAAAUACAAAAAAUACCUGAAGCUUGCAAACAUAAAAUGGAGAAUGUAAUAAAAGGAAUCUCUGUUGGAAAAACAAUAUAUGGGCCAGUCUGAGUGACAUACACAAAAUCAAAUUACAUAUGUCUCAAGUGACAUACACAGGCCCAUGAUAUAUACACAUGUCCAGUUAGAGGUGGGCGUUCGGGUAUCCAUUCGGGUUCGGUUCGGGUUUAUUCGGGUUUUGGGUUUUCGGAGUUAAAAAUUUCAGCCACAUUCGGGUAUUUCUAAAUUUCGGUUCGGGUUUGAUUCAGAUAACCCAUUUAAAUGAUUUUUAAAAUUUUAAAAUUCAAUAUAUUGUUUAAAUUUCUCAAAUUCUGAAAAUAAAAUAAGAUAUUACAUAUAAAUUGGAAUAACAUAUGUUAGAAUACUUAAACUUAGCAUAUAAAUUAGUUUGGUUUGAAUAUUUUGCUAGAGAAUCAGUAGUUAUUUCAAAUAUUUUUGGUGUUUUGAGUAUAUUUUAGCUAUUUUAGACAUUUACUUUUGACUAUUUGUAUAUAUUUUCAAGUAUUUUAGACAACUUAAAAAUAUCUUAUAUAUUUUUAAUAUUUUUAAUAUACACAAAAUCUAAAAAUAAUUAAUAUAUUUAGAUAUAAAAAUCUAUUUCGAAUAAAUUCGAAUACCCGAAAUACUUCGGUUAGGGUCAGGUUUGGUUUCGGUUUUUUGGAUACCAAAAUUUUGAACCCGGUCGGAUAAUUAAUCAAUUUCAGUUCAGGUUCGAUAUUACUUUUUCGGAUCAGAUUCGGUUCGUUUCUUCGGAUUUAGGUUUUUUGCCCAGCCCUAUGUCCAGUUCAACAGAAACUAUGUGUCUAGCCUUGAAGCAUUGAUAUUAUUUGUAAUAUUUAAUUUACAAGUUAAGAAAAAAACAACUCAAAUUUAAUUAAAAUAUCUUAAGGAUGGCUGAAACUUAUUCGUUUAGGCUACAUACAGUGUAAGUAAAAAUUAUCUAGUCAUAGUCUCACAUAAGCAUCAAAGGGAAAUAUAAAAUUUGACAAUUUUUGGAAAUAUAUUUUUCUUUUUUAGUUAUUAGAACAAAAGGAAGUUUUCUUUAUGUAAAAUCUAAAAUUAUGAAUUUACAUUGAAAUGUAUCUGAAAUAACAAGAUACGUAAUAUCUUACUUGUUUAGCUAUCUUCAAAUAAAACAAUUAUGGAAAAAAUCAUAUCCAGCAAAUUUUAUCAAACAUAUAUAGAGUUAAUACUGUAUUAGUUUACUGUAAAAUUGUGUGUUUUAGUAAUAAUUUUGAAAAUCUAGAAAUAUAUUUUCAUAGCUAUUUUAGAUCAUUUUAGAUAAAUAUUAAAAUAUAAAAUCGUUAAUAAUUUUCAAAGAGAUGUUGGAGAGAGAUUACAUCCCUCAACAAAGCUCUUCAAAUGCAAUUUUUGGCCUAAUUUGAACAUGCAAAUCAGGGAGAACUCGGCCCUACACAAUCCGGCCCACUACAUUCGGCCCAACCGGAUUAGGUCAGCGCAAAGUGAGGGCUUAGAAGCGCCGAGUAUAAAGGAAAAAGGAAAGCACAAGAAGAAAAGACAUUCAGAAGCCAGACAAGACUAGAACGGCUAGAAAUAUGGUUUAUCAUCUUUAAUCCUUUAUUCUAGCCAGAAACAUUUUCUUUUAUCUUAACAUUACCAAAACUCUCUUGUAAUCUCCGACCAGAUUGUUUAACAAAACGUCUUUCAAAUAACUCACCACCUUGUUCGCUCACUCUCUAAUUACACACCGAACACUGAUUAAACAAGAGACAUCAAUGAAAGUAUAACAAGAUUUUAUAUAAAUUUACUCCAAGAUCAAUGAGUGAUAAAUAUAAGCUUCCAAGGACAACACUUCGCAGAAGAUCUCUGUCAGCUGAGCUAUCUGGAGAGAGUUCAACAGAUGAUGAAGCAAACAAAGUUGAGAGAAAAGUCCCCUACAAAGCUCUUCUCAUAAGACCUCGGCCAUUUGAACCAUUUGAUGAGGAUGAUUCAAUGGACAGUGAUGCAACGGAUAGUGAUGCAACGGACAAUGAUGUAACAAGUCCAGAGGGGUUGAAAGCGAGUCCAAAGAAGAGCAAUGAUGCAAUAAACGAGCCGUCGAACAAGAAGAGAAGACUGCAUAGGAAGAAGAUGUAUACCCCUCGAAAAUUUAUUUCCCCAGAGGCAGAAGUUAACCAGACUGAUGCAAAUCCGUGCAACAGUGGGAGAUCAGAGAAGGCCCUUUCUGAUCAACGUGUCACCCCAGAAAAACCAUAAACAAGACGAAUCAGAAUCAAUGGCUUAUCCAAUAUCUAUGUUCUUAUCUUUUAUUUUAUGGACUUUAUUUCGUAAUUUGAAGUUUGCUUUUAGCUUAUCUGCAUGCUGAGAUAUAAUAAAGUUUUUCAUUUCAACCUCAAACGUGUUGAUUGAAUCUGAAAAAAAAAGUUUGGGUGUAAUAUCUCAUCUUCAAACCACAAAAUCAGCCCAUUUGUUGUUCCUUCCUUUUCUGUCUUCGAAAAAACAAGAUUGACACUAACCAAACAUGUGAUUGAAAAAACCCCAACCCCUUAUCCAAAUAUUCCGAUGAACACCAAUGUUUUUGUUUUACACAGCCUAAAAACUGUCAAAAUUUUCUUAUCUUUAAGAGAGUUUUCCAUUCACCUAACUCACCAACUCUCACAAACUUAUUAUACUCCUGAAUAUGAAACCAAGGAUACUGAUAUCUUGGCAGCAUUCCGACCCUAAAGUGUGGAAAAUCUCUUGAACCUUCAAUCUUAAUAAAAUUAAGUGAAGUAUUUGUGUCGUUUAUUUUUAUAAUUUGAAAGUUUCAGUGGUUGCCUAUCAUAGUCAAACUACAUUUUGGACAGGACAUUUAUGUACACAGGAAAAGAAGGAUAUGUGAAAACUGAAGUGCAGUGGUUAGUAAUACUGAAUCCAGAGAUGCAAGGGAUCUCUUUUACAGUUUCCAUUAUGAUGAUGUGUUUGCUGACUCAGUAAAGCACAGUUGCAUUGUGCAUUUCGUGCCAGAGAAUAAGCAAAUUAAAUUCCAAACCGUAAGGAGCACCCUGGCCUUAUUGUGCAAAAGGUUUAUAAUAUCGCUAUAGAAGAAGCUGUGGAAGUUCAUUCAUAAUGAUUUAAAUGAGGAUCAAAGAAGUGAGAUUGAUUUUCAUUUGGAAAAGACGAUUUCAUGAAUUGGUGAUCUUCCGGAUAUUGAGAAUAAGCAAAUGACUUAAAAAGUUGAGAGAAAGAGUCCUUGAAGCUGUAAUUUGGCAAAUGCACCUUGUUACUGAUAGCAGGAGUAAGUAUAGUUUUUUGCUCUAUCAUUUUUCUUGUUUUUUUUUUAUAUAUUAAGCAAUUUUGUUUUGUUUCAAAAAAAAAAGAAGCAAUUGUGUUUAUACACUAUUAUAAAUAGGGUUUUCACUUACAGGUUUACAUCAUCGUAUAGAGGAGGAAAACUGGUUUUUUUUUAAUACAUCAAGUAAUUUUUUUAUACACUAUUAUAAAUAGGAUUUUCACUUGAAGGUUACAUUAUCGUGUAGAGGAGCAAAACGGUUUUUGAUGAGGACUGGCUAAGCUAGCGUUGAUGGUGACAGUAUGACAUUUGUCAUAAAACAGUAUUUCAAAAGUUAAGACAUGCUGGUUUCUUACACGAGAAAAUGCUGGUUUCUCUCACUUAUUUUUGUCUUUUUCUGAUUUUUUUAUUCUUCACAUACUGUCUUAAAGACAUGCCUUGCAGAUGCUCUUAUGAGUCUUUUGAAAUAUAUAUACAAAAGUACUGGAGGUGCUAGUUCAUAAUAUCAAAGUUAGUUUAAACAUUUCUUUUUCAGUUUUUGGUAUAUGUGUGUGCACUGUGCAUGAUGAACUUCUUAGAAUCGUUAGGUAUUGAUAAUAUUUCACCUUAGGAUGUUAAAUAGGGGUUUUAAUCUCUGAUUCUCAGCAUUUAAUUUAAGUUCAGCCGUAAAGGAACCCUACUUCUUUUUAGAUCCCACCAAAAUUUGCAAAAGAGGAUUAAACCCUUUUAACUCAUAAACCCUUUAUUUUUUUCAUGUGAAUAUAUUUCAUAUAAUUUAGAGCAAUAUAUAUCUUCACAAAUAUAAAAUUAGUUAAAUCCAUAUAUACAUAAAUCAAAAUAAAACAUUCAAUUCAUCUAUUAAUCAAUGUAAAAGUCUGUUUUUUUAUGAAAUAUCAAAUGUAAUCUUUUAAAAAAUAAUUCACUUUUUUGGAAAACAAGAUUAUUCAUUUUUUACGAAAAAUUUACAUUUGCAGUUUGGACUUAAAAAUCAAUUUUGCAAAUCAAACAAAAAAAAUCAAUAUUGCGGUUUUGUGGCCUUGGCGGGAACACUUGUUUUUGUGGGUUUUGCAGAAAAACUCAGUUGUUCAGUUUUGGCGAAAAAAUCAAUUUUACGAUUUUGGCAAAAAAAUAAUUUUAUUGCGGAAUUAAAGAAAAAUUCAAUUUUCUCGUUUUGAUGGAAAACUGAAUUUUUUUUAUCUAGAAGGAAAAACUUAUUUUUGCGAUUUUAUCAGAAAACUCAAAUUUGUAAUUCUAACGGGAAAUUUGUUUUUGUGGUCCAAACGGAAAGCCUCAUUUUUACAAUUUUGGUGAAAAAAACUCAAUUUUGUGGUUUUGGAGAAAAAAAUAGUUUUGUGUGGGUUUUGGCGGAAAAACUCAAUUUUGUGAUUUUCACAAUAAAACCUCAGUUUAUGGUUUUGAUGUAUAACUUUAAAUUUACGGUUUUGAUGUAAAAUUUCGAUUUUGCUGUUUUGGUGAAAAACCUUGAUUUUCAGCUUUGUUGAAAAACCUGGAUUUUUCUGUUUUAAAUGAAAACUUUUUUUGCUGUUUUAGUGAAAAAACUUGAUUUUGCGGUUUUGGCAGAAAAAUAUAUUUAUUUUUUUUGGAGGGAAAACUGAAUUUUAGGAUUUUGGCAGGAAAACUCUAUUUUGCGGUUUUGGUGAGAAAAUAAAUUUUAGUGUUUUAACGGGAAAACUUAUUUUACCGUUUUGACAGAAAAACUUGUUUUUAUGGUUUUGACAAGAAAACAUAUUUUUACGGUUUUGACAGUUACGGUUUUGACAGUAAAAUGUGUUUUAUGGUUUUAACAGUUAAACAUGUUUUUGCAGUUUGGUGGGCGAGAAAAUCAUAUUUUACGCUAUUGUUGAAGAGAUUAUUUUUGCCAAACAAUUCAAUUUUGUUGUUUGGGUGGAAAAAAUCGAUUUUAUUGUAUCGGUGGAAAAAUAAAUUUUGUCAUAAUCUUUAAAUUUAGUAUAAAAUUGUGUAAAGCAAAAUAUAUUACAUGGCUAGGAUAACUAGGGGUAGGCGUUCGGGUACCCAUUCGGGUUCGGUUCGGAUCUAUUCGGGUUUCGGGUUUUCGGGUUUAAUGAUUUCAGUCCCAUUCAGGUAUUUCUAAAUUUUGGUUCGGGUUCGGUUUGGAUCUUUGCGGGUUCGGUUCGGGUUCGGAUAACCCAUUUAAAUUAUUUUUAAAAUUUUAAUAUUCAUUAUAUGCUUAAAAUUUCUCAAAAUCUUUAAAACGAAAUAAUCUAUUACAUAUAAAUUUGUAUAAUAUAUGUCAAAAUAGCUAAAAUUGUCAUAUAAAUUGGUUUGAUUUGAAUAUUUAGAUAGAAAAUCAAUCGAUAUUUCAAGUAUCUUGAUGUUUUGAAUAUAUUUUAGCUAUUUUAAACAUUUAUUUUUGAUUAUUUAUAUAUAUUUCAAGUAUUUUAGACAAUUUAAAAGUAUCCUAUAUAUUUUUAUUUUUUUAAUAUAUAUUAAAUUUAAAAAUAAGUAAUAUAUUUAGGUAUAUAAAUCUAUUUCGGUUAUAUUCGGGUAUCCGAGAUGUUUCGAUUCGGGUCGGUUUUGGCUUCGGUUCUUUAGAUACCAAAAUUUUGAACCCGUCCGGAUAUUUAAUCAAUUUCGGUUCGGGUUCGGUACUACUUUUUUGGAUCGGGUUCGGUUCGGUUCUUCGGAUCCUGGAUAACCAUCGAAGCCCAAUAGCUAAUUAUGUUUAACCUUUUUUUUUGUCAUGUUUUAAGGUUAAGAUUUUGAUAAAUGGUUAGGGUAACCCUAUUAGGUUGAGUUCAUUUCAACAUCCUUAGUCUUGGAAGUUAAAAAGACAUUAAUGUGUGACUAAGCGAUGAUAAAGGUAUUAUAUGUUAUGCUUUAUAGAGAAAAAAAAAACUGAUUGUGUGAAAUACUACAUUGAUAUUUGAUUAUUAAACUUCACGAUCCAACUUCCAAGUAAGGUUACACUAAAAUUCUUGUUUAUACUAAGUGUUCUCAGUUUGCUCCAAAUUAUCAUUUUAAUGUAGUCAUUGUUUGUGUUUGUUUGUCGAACUCGUGAAUGCUAGGUGAACGACAUCUAACUGGCGAAUUGAAACCUUAACAUCUGAUAAACAUGAAGCGCUAGCUAUGAGCAGGUAGUGUAUCAUAUUCACACAUUUCUUGAAAUGAUUGAUGGUAGAAGUUCAUUGUAUAUUUUUUCGUGAAAGUGGAAUCUUAUUAAUCUUCACCGGUUGUGGCAAUAACAUAAAACCUAAAUCUUCAUGUUAAUUACCUCAUAAAUUGUAUAUAAUCAUAUCUUCUGUGAUUUUACGUGUUAUAAGUAACUAAUUUUGUUUUUCCGAAUCAGAACGGCCACACUCUUGAUGAAAUGGCGGCUGUUAUCGAAGAACCAAGAUUAAAGAUGAAUUAAUCUACCUACCUCCAAAAAGAGCUAGGCACCGUUUUUAUACUCCAUUGACGAUCAAAGAAGUUACUAAACCGGCCUGAAUUGACAAUCAAAUAUAGGUAAUGGUAUUUUUAUCUUCCUCGUUUAUAUAAUUCUAUAAAGAAGCCUUUAUUAGAGUUUCCUUUUCAAGGUGUGAUGCAGAUCAUGACUUCUUAUCUUCCUUUUUUUUUUUGCUUUGUUGCAUCCAAAUAAAGAUAGGAGAGUUGGUUACAUAAUACCUUAGAUAAAACUUGUGAAAUUAAGUUACAAAAAAAAAAAAACUUGUGAAAUAGCCAAGAGUCUUUGCGUUUGUCUUUACAUCGUCUUCGAUAGUGGGUUGAUCUGGUUGCUUUGUGUUUUUUCCUCGUGGACCCAUUUUUGUUUGUUGCAAAUGUGAGUCUCUCUUGUCUACGAGAUUCUCUAGUCUAUUUUUUUGGGCUGCCAUAAAAUUGCAACAUCCAGGGUUGUCUCAAGAUAAGUCUGCACACGAAUCAAAACAUUGAUGGGAUCGGUAGUAAAUAUGUAUACAUUUAUUUGCAGACCAAGUGAAAUAAGGUACCAGGUACAUUAGAAAAUUUAGACACACUAAUGCAUAUUGACCUCAAAGAAAGUAACAUUCUAUAUUCUGAUGUGAAUCCAAAAUUUGCAAGAUACUGGAAUUUCCAUGAUUUUGGGUUUAUGAAACUUAACGAGGAGCUAAAGAAGUAAUGGAUGCUUGAUCAAUCGAACAGAGAGAAGACUUGUCCACUGAUGAACAUGCUUGAUCUUUCUUACUUCGGAAGAAAAAUCCAGGUGGUCGAGGCACAGCGAGGGAGAUCAAGCUAGUAGUAAGCAUUUGGACGAUUGCUGACAUGGUUGGGCGAUCCUCAGAAUCUUCUUGGACACAUAAUAAGGCGAUAUGGAUGCAUCUAAUUAUUUUGUUGCUUUGAUAACUCUCUCGAAAGGAUGAGUCCACGAGCUCUAGGGGCAAUCCAUUGUUCCAUACCCUCCAAGUCUAUUCAACAUUUUAAGACUUAAUUAUCUUUGUGAUUGUUUAGUAGAGAAGAAAAAUUUGCAGAUUUAAAGUUUUUAUACUCACAUAUGUAACCAAGUUUCCUAAACUACCAUCCAUCUCAAGGAGGCUGCUAUUCUUCCUCACGCUUAUAAUCUCAAGAACUAAGACUCCGAAGCUACAGACAUCUGACUUCAUUUAGAAUUGGCCGUACAUCGCAUACUCAGGGGACAUGUAACCACUGAAACAAUACUAUAUUGAGUUAAUAGAGGCAUAAUAAAGCCUGACAUUCAAUAUAUGGCAAGAUAAAAACUUACUAGGUUCCGACUACUCUUCUCGUAUUUGCUUCGGUUUGGUCCAUUUCAAAUAUUCUUACCAUACCAAAAUCUGCAACUUUGGGGUUCAUAUCAGCGUCCAAGAGAAUGUUACCAGCUUUGAGGUUCCGAUGUAUAAUUGUGAGUCUUAAAUCUUGAUGGAGAUAUAGAAUCCCUCUAGCAAUUACUCCUACGAUCUUAUACCGUCUAGUCCAAUCCAACUGGCUCUGCAAUCUAGGGUCCACACAUCCAUAGAUAGAAUGUAAAAACAUUGGAGUAAAUAUUGUGGCUAAUAAGAAUUGGUUUUAAGUUACCAAACAGGAAGUAAUCGAGGCUUUUAUUAAGCACCAACUCGUAGACAAGUAUCUUCUCUUGUCUCUCAAACAAUAUCCGAGAAGCUUGACCAGAUUUCUGUGCUGAAGCUUUGCCACAAGAACGACUUCAUUCUUGAACUCUUUCUCGCCUUGUCCUGAUGUUUUGGAAAGUCUCUUCACAGCAACUUGUAAUCCAUUUGGAAGUGUCCCCUAAAAAAGAUAGUGAAUUAAACAGUCGUCACCUCAUUUGAAUCUCUAAUGCACCUAAUUAAGAACCUCAGUGAACUGGUAAUACCUUGUAGACUUUUCGGAAUCCACCUUGACCUAGUUUGUUACAUAUCGAAAACUUAUUUUUGGCAGCUUCAAUAACCUUAAAGUCAAACUGUAGUGAGCCUGAAGUUGUAAUGUCAUACCCUUCUGUAAAAAAAAAUAGUAAAAAAAGAUCUAUAUAUAUAAAAAAAUGUAUGCUUCACUCCUAUGCAUCCACGUCAGAUCCACGUCAGAAAGUCGCUUUAUGUGGUGUCAACACCUGUCCCUGUUAGCAAAACUUACCGUAUCAUUUAAUCGUUGGUUGCUUUCUACUUAUUUUCCAUUGGACCUUAAUUUGCGUUGUUUUCUACUUAUUAUUCACAAUUGGGCCUUUAUGUUUUAUUUUAGGUUUCUAAAUUGAUAAUUUGCAUUUUGAGUGUUGGGCUGGUAACAUGAAAUUAAAGUUACUCAUGAUUGUCGAGCUAUUUCUUCAACCAUGGUGAUCUUCAGAUUUCUAGGGUUCCUCUCAUCGUCUUUUUCUUUCUGUAAUUAGGUGGACUGAAUGGAAUUUCUAGACGUCUUGAGGAAUCUCUUUAGCUAGCUCCGUUCGUGUCGUUUUGUCUCGGAUUCUUCUCCUUAGGACCGUUACAGGAUUCAUUGAUUCAACGCCAUUGAAGACCUUCUUUAUUCCUUAGCCCCACUCCAAUCAUAAUUACUCAUUAAAUGCAUUUUACCUCUCUUCGAGGCGGUGGCGAUCCAGUUAUAAAAAGUAGAAUGGCAAACUCAUCGAUUCUCCUCGCUGAGGCUGGCUGGCCGAUGUUCUUUAAAGCAUUUGCCUGCUGAGAUCGAGAUCUAUUACUACUUCGGCUUUCUUUUCCGGACUGAUUAGAAAAAGUAAGAGGUUACUUCUUUAUUUCAGUGGGGUUUCGUUGAGAUAAUUUGUUAUUAAUCUUGAUGUCUUCAUAUUUCCAAAGUGUUUUGCUUUUUCUCCUUUAGGCCAAAUCUUGCUUUUCAGCUAGCAAUUGGUUACCUCAACAGCUUAAACAAGAGAACCCUUUUUAUAUAUAUAGAUUCUUUGAGCUAUGAGAAGCAUGGUGAUCUUGCUGAGAUUAGUGGUACUCAGUCCGUCCUUGGGCCAUUCUGCGACACUGCGUCAUGGUGCGAUGGGCAGAUACGUUUUGUGAUAAUUGUUAUAAACACUAGAAACUCUUGAUUCAGCUUUUGUUUUGGUUAUUCGAGGUGUCAUUUUGUGGGUGCAGGAAAAACUUCUGAAUCUCUUGCUUCGUAACUACCUGCACUACAUCCUUUAUGACCAAGUAGAGAAGUUGAGAUCAAAAGCACCAAGAUUUGAGGCACAUUCUAACCAACAUGUUUAUCUUUUAGUAGUUAUUCUUUCAUACCAAUUCGUUAGUGUAGCUUUCUAGAUUAUAGAUAUAUCGUUUAUAUGAUCUCUUACUUAUGCUAACUUUUCCACAGUCAAUUUUUUCUUCAAAUACGGUGUUUAUAUGUAAGACCAUUGGGUAUGAUUUUUUUCUCUUAUCAGUACUAGCUGUUUUUGUUUCAUGGGACAUCUUCAACUAUUGUAUCUAAUAUGAUAUUCACAUACGCACUCCGGUCAUGCUGGUCGUACCAUAUAUAUGUGUAUAUUUAUAUCUAAAAUGCAAAAAGGUCGAUUGAAUACUGAUAAAACAGGUCUGAUGUGAGAAAAAGACAUGUAUAUGGCAGAUGAAGGGAACCUAAAAGUGAGAAGAGACAAGAGAUACACGAACGUGUUGAAUUUAUAGCUGCUGUCUUUUCAGUUUUCACCAGAAGAAUAGUGUAAGCAUCAAUGAGGAAUCUUAUUCUCCAGCAAAGAAGCUUAAAAAAGGUCCAGACUGCACGAGGUCGUAUUUUAAAUUUACAGCCAUUGCCUGAUUUAUAUGUUCUAGAUGUAAAUUUUUCUGUGGUCGUUUAUUUUAAAAGUUUGUUACUUAGUUUGGUUUUUGUCUUAUUUUUUCAUUUGUAAAUGUUUUCCCAUAAAUUGGUGAGGCGGACAAUAGCACUUUGUUCUUUUGGUUAAUUUUCAGUAAAUAUACUCUUUUUCAUGAUUUCUA